GCAAGAUGUAGUCACAGAUGACCUUAUCACGAACUGGUUCACAGAAGUGAUGGGGUCCAGGGCCCAUAUGGCAAGGGUUUCUUGAAAGGAAUGAGUACCUAGCACUGUGCCACACAAGCUCAGUAAAUGUUUGCUGAAUAAAUGAAUCCUUGAAAUGUUAAACUGACAUCACAACAAGGAAGUAGACCAAAAAGAGGAAGACACAGGACCCAGGAGACAAAAAUUCAAACCUAAGAGACGGUUGUUAGGGUGGACCCCAAUCCAAUAUGACUGGCAUCUUUAUAAGAAGAUGAAAUUAGGACCCAAACAAAAUGAAGGUGUAACCUUGUGAGGACCCAGAAGAUGGCCAUCUUCAGUCCAAGGAGAGGGCCUAAGAAGAAACCAAGCCCGCCAACAUCUUGGCCUUGGGCUUCCAGCUUCCUGAACUGCAAGCACCAUUUGAGAUAUUUACUAAUUCUGAACAGAAAUUUUGGUAACUGUUCAGCGAAUCUUAAUGAGAAGUGUAAAGAAGAGAAAUAAUUUUGCUGAAGAGGCACAACAAAUUAGUAAAUUGGCAGAUCCAUUUCUUUUCUGCCUCAUAUGCCUA